GUAUUAGGUUGGUGCAAAAGUAAUUGCAGUUUUGGUAUUACUUUUAUGGCAAAAACUGUAAUUACUUUUGUACCAAUCUAAUAU
ensembl:miRNA